GAAUAGCUCAGUUGGUUACAGCAUGGUGCUGAUAAUGCCAAGGUUGUAGGUUUGAUCCCCGUAUGGGACG
rnacentral:tRNA from 1 species